rnacentral:rRNA from 1 species
UACGUAGGGUGCGAGCGUUGUCCGGAAUUAUUGGGCGUAAAGAGCUUGUAGGCGGUCUGUCGCGUCUGCUGUGAAAAUCCGGGGCUCAACCCCGGACUUGCAGUGGGUACGGGCAGGCUAGAGUUCGGUAGGGGAGACUGGAAUUCCUGGUGUAGCGGUGAAAUGCGCAGAUAUCAGGAGGAACACCGAUGGCGAAGGCAGGUCUCUGGGCCGAUACUGACGCUGAGGAGCGAAAGCGUGGGGAGCGAACAGG